GACGAACGCUGGAGGCGUGCCUAAUACAUGCAAGUAGAUCGCUGAAGAGAGGAGCUUGCUCUUCUUGGAUGAGUUGCGAACGGGUGAGUAACGCGUAGGUAACCUGCCUGGUAGCGGGGGAUAACUAUUGGAAACGAUAGCUAAUACCGCAUAAAAUGGAUUAUCGCAUGAUAAUUCAUUGAAAGGUGCAAAUGCAUCACUACCAGAUGGACCUGCGUUGUAUUAGCUAGUUGGUGGGGUAACGGCUCACCAAGCCGACGAUACAUAGCCGACCUGAGAGGGUGAUCGGCCACACUGGGACUGAGACACGGCCCAGACUCCUACGGGAGGCAGCAGUAGGGAAUCUUCGGCAAUGGACGGAAGUCUGACCGAGCAACGCCGCGUGAGUGAAGAAGGUUUUCGGAUCGUAAAGCUCUGUUGUAAGAGGAAGGAACAGAGUGUGAUGAGU
rnacentral:rRNA from 1 species